rnacentral:rRNA from 1 species
GGUUAAGCGACUAAGCGUACACGGUGGAUGCCCUGGCAGUCAGAGGCGAUGAAGGACGUGCUAAUCUGCGAAAAGCGUCGGUAAGGUGAUAUGAACCGUUAUAGCCGGCGAUGUCCGAAUGGGGAAACCCAGUGCAAUUCGUUGCACUAUCGUUUGAUGAAUACAUAGUCAAACGAGGCGAACCGGGGGAACUGAAACAUCUAAGUACCCCGAGGAAAAGAAAUCAACCGAGAUUCCCCCAGUAGCGGCGAGCGAACGGGGAGCAGCCCGGAGUCUGAAUCAGCUUGUGUGUUAGUGGAAGCGUCUGGAAAGUCGCAGGGUACAGGGUGAUACUCCCGUACACUAAAACGCACAGGUUGUGAACUCGAAGAGUAGGGCGGGACACGUGGUAUCCUGUCUGAAUAUGGGGGGACCAUCCUCCAAGGCUAAAUACUCCUGACUGACCGAUAGUGAACCAGUACCGUGAGGGAAAGGCGAAAAGAACCCCGGCGAGGGGAGUGAAAAAGAACCUGAAACCGUGUACGUACAAGCAGUAGGAGCCUCUUUAUGGGGUGACUGCGUACCUUUUGUAUAAUGGGUCAGCGACUUAUAUUCUGUAGCAAGGUUAACCGUAUAGGGGAGCCGCAGGGAAACCGAGUCUUAACUGGGCGUUAAGUUGCAGGGUAUAGACCCGAAACCCGGUGAUCUAGCCAUGGGCAGGUUGAAGGUUGGGUAACACUAACUGGAGGACCGAACCGACUAAUGUUGAAAAAUUAGCGGAUGACUUGUGGCUGGGGGUGAAAGGCCAAUCAAACCGGGAGAUAGCUGGUUCUCCCCGAAAGCUAUUUAGGUAGCGCCUCGUGAACUCAUCUUCGGGGGUAGAGCACUGUUUCGGCUAGGGGGUCAUCCCGACUUACCAACCCGAUGCAAACUACGAAUACCGAAGAAUGUUAUCACGGGAGACACACGGCGGGUGCUAACGUCCGUCGUGAAGAGGGAAACAACCCAGACCGCCAGCUAAGGUCCCAAAGUCAUGGUUAAGUGGGAAACGAUGUGGGAAGGCCCAGACAGCCAGGAUGUUGGCUUAGAAGCAGCCAUCAUUUAAAGAAAGCGUAAUAGCUCACUGGUCGAGUCGGCCUGCGCGGAAGAUGUAACGGGGCUAAACCAUGCACCGAAGCUGCGGCAGCGACACUAUGUGUUGUUGGGUAGGGGAGCGUUCUGUAAGCCGUUGAAGGUGGCCUGUGAGGGUUGCUGGAGGUAUCAGAAGUGCGAAUGCUGACAUAAGUAACGAUAAUGCGGGUGAAAAACCCGCACGCCGGAAGACCAAGGGUUCCUGUCCAACGUUAAUCGGGGCAGGGUGAGUCGACCCCUAAGGCGAGGCCGAAAGGCGUAGUCGAUGGGAAACAGGUUAAUAUUCCUGUACUCGGUGUUACUGCGAAGGGGGGACGGAGAAGGCUAUGUUGGCCGGGCGACGGUUGUCCCGGUUUAAGCAUGUAGGCGGAUGUUCCAGGUAAAUCCGGAACGUUACUAACGCUGAGGUGUGAUGACGAGGCACUACGGUGCUGAAGUGACAAAUGCCCUGCUUCCAGGAAAAGCCUCUAAGCAUCAGGUAACAUCAAAUCGUACCCCAAACCGACACAGGUGGUCAGGUAGAGAAUACCAAGGCGCUUGAGAGAACUCGGGUGAAGGAACUAGGCAAAAUGGUGCCGUAACUUCGGGAGAAGGCACGCUGAUAUGUAGGUGAAGUGGUUUACCCAUGGAGCUGAAAUCAGUCGAAGAUACCAGCUGGCUGCAACUGUUUAUUAAAAACACAGCACUGUGCAAACACGAAAGUGGACGUAUACGGUGUGACGCCUGCCCGGUGCCGGAAGGUUAAUUGAUGGGGUUAUCCGUAAGGAGAAGCUCUUGAUCGAAGCCCCGGUAAACGGCGGCCGUAACUAUAACGGUCCUAAGGUAGCGAAAUUCCUUGUCGGGUAAGUUCCGACCUGCACGAAUGGCGUAAUGAUGGCCAGGCUGUCUCCACCCGAGACUCAGUGAAAUUGAACUCGCUGUGAAGAUGCAGUGUACCCGCGGCAAGACGGAAAGACCCCGUGAACCUUUACUAUAGCUUGACACUGAACACUGGUCCUUGAUGUGUAGGAUAGGUGGGAGGCUUUGAAGUGUGGACGCCAGUCUGCAUGGAGCCAUCCUUGAAAUACCACCCUUUAAUGGCUGGUGUUCUAACGUGGGCCCCUAAUCGGGGUUGCGGACAGUGUCUGGUGGGUAGUUUGACUGGGGCGGUCUCCUCCUAAAGAGUAACGGAGGAGCACGAAGGUCAGCUAAUCCUGGUCGGACAUCAGGAGGUUAGUGCAAUGGCAUAAGCUGGCUUGACUGCGAGCGUGACGGCGCGAGCAGGUGCGAAAGCAGGUCAUAGUGAUCCGGUGGUUCUGAAUGGAAGGGCCAUCGCUCAACGGAUAAAAGGUACUCCGGGGAUAACAGGCUGAUACCGCCCAAGAGUUCAUAUCGACGGCGGUGUUUGGCACCUCGAUGUCGGCUCAUCACAUCCUGGGGCUGAAGUAGGUCCCAAGGGUAUGGCUGUUCGCCAUUUAAAGUGGUACGCGAGCUGGGUUUAGAACGUCGUGAGACAGUUCGGUCCCUAUCUGCCGUGGGCGCUGGAGAAUUGAGGGGGGCUGCUCCUAGUACGAGAGGACCGGAGUGGACGCAUCACUGGUGUUCGGGUUGUCAUGCCAAUGGCAUUGCCCGGUAGCUAAAUGCGGAAGAGAUAAGUGCUGAAAGCAUCUAAGCACGAAACUUGCCCCGAGAUGAGUUCUCCCUGACUCCUUGAGAGUCCUGAAGGAACGUUGAAGACGACGACGUUGAUAGGCCGGGUGUGUAAGCGCAGCGAUGCGUUGAGCUAACCGGUACUAAUGAACCGUGAGGCUUAACCUU